AGUACUUGGCUUUGCUUUCUCCCAGAGAGGAGACUUUGGGCUCCGCUCGGACACGUAAACGACGGGUUCGAAUGGUUAAGAAGCAUUUAAUCGCUUGACGUUUCCCCCCCUGAGGACCGGCUGUAUGAUUAAGUUACAAUCUUCAAUGAGUAAGCAUAUCCCACAGUUCUGUGGUGUUGUGGGUCGCACAUUUAUGGAGUUUCUGAAGGGCAGCGGAGACUACUGCCAGGCUCAGCACGCCGCUUAUGCAGACGAGUGAACGGGCCAACUCCACGACCACCCGGACGCGCCCGCGCCUCAGGAGGAGGGAACCCCCCCGAGGUCGGCACGAGCGGGACCCCUCCCGCAACCGGCGACCACUCGGCCUGGAUGGGGUAACUUGACCCGCUGCGCACCGCCCUUCCCCGUCGGCUCCCGCCUGGCCAAGAACAAGGUGGAAAGCCGCCUCGUUUUGUUGCCCCGCCCGCCACGCCCUGAGUGGUCCCCCGACGAGACGCCCCCCCCCAUUGCCGC